CCUAAUUUCUCAUUCUUCUUCUUUUUAGAUCCGCCGCACGCCACUAUCUUCUCUUCCUCUUCUCUUCUUUAUCCGCCAUUUUCUAUGAGAAUAAGAGGAGAUGUCAUUCUCCUCUCCUCUCCGCCCCUCUUCCGCGUCUCAAUAGUCGCCCUACUCCAUUCCCUCUCCGCCAGCACUAGCAGCUGCUCUUCCUCUCUUCUGCAGCGCUGCCGCUCCAGUGGACAACAGAUCCGCUUGGCAAGCCACCAAGAACCAACGACUCCAAACAGCAGCAGUCGGUGACAGCAACCAGCAGCAGCCGUGACAGCAACAGGCGAUGAACCACCAACAUUUGCUCGAUAGAAAAAAAAAUAAUAGCGACACAAAAGGCUGCUCCGACCAGCAAGUUAUUGGAUAAAUCCAGUGUAUCUCAUUUGUUCCCAAUUACCAAGUAUCUUUGGACUAUUGGUUAUUGCAUAACAGGUUUGCACUCUUUUAUGGACGAGAGAAAACUACUGAGCUCUCAUCAAGCAUACUAUCGAGCUACCGAGAUAUAAAAGAAGAGAAGAGUAUACGGAUCUGAAACAAAAACAUACUACAUGAAGCAAAUGUUCCUCUUAAGAAUAAUUGAUAUGUUUCUUUUCAUAUUUUGCAUCGGAAGUAUAUGAUUUUGACUUUCUAUCUACAGAUUUUGAACACACAUAAUAUUAUUUUAUACAAAUGUUUGUUAUCGUAGAGGUA